GACGAACGCUGGCGGCGUGCCUAAUACAUGCAAGUAGAACGCUGAAGAGAGGAGCUUACUCUUCUUGGAUGAGUUGCGGACGGGUGAGUAACGCGUAGGUAACCUGCCUUGUAGCGGGGGAUAACUAUUGGAAACGAUAGCUAAUACCGCAUAACAAUGGAUGACACAUGUCAUUUAUUUGAAAGGGGCAAUUGCUCCACUACAAGAUGGACCUGCGUUGUAUUAGCUAGUAGGUGAGGUAAUGGCUCACCUAGGUGACGAUACAUAGCCGACCUGAGAGGGUGAUCGGCCACACUGGGACUGAGACACGGCCCAGACUCCUACGGGAGGCAGCAGUAGGGAAUCUUCGGCAAUGGGGGCAACCCUGACCGAGCAACGCCGCGUGAGUGAAGAAGGUUUUCGGAUCGUAAAGCUCUGUUGUAAGUCAAGAACGGGUGUGAGAGUGGAAAGUUCACACUGUGACGGUAGCUUACCAGAAAGGGACGGCUAACUACGUG
rnacentral:rRNA from 1 species